AGGACGAACGCUGGCGGCGUGCUUAACACAUGCAAGUCGAGCGGAAAGGCCCUUCGGGGUACUCGAGCGGCGAACGGGUGAGUAACACGUGAGCAAUCUGCCCUUAGCUUCGGGAUAGCCCCGGGAAACCGGGAUUAAUACCGAAUAUGACCUCGGCCGACAUCGGCUUUGGUGGAAAGUUUUUCGGCUAGGGAUGAACUCGCGGCCUAUCAGCUUGUUGGUGGGGUAAUGGCCUACCAAGGCGACGACGGGUAGCCGGCCUGAGAGGGCGACCGGCCACACUGGGACUGAGACACGGCCCAGACUCCUACGGGAGGCAGCAGUGGGGAAUAUUGCGCAAUGGGCGAAAGCCUGACGCAGCGACGCUGCGUGGGUGAUGAAGGCCUUCGGGUCGUAAAGCCCUGUCGGAGGGGAAGAAAGUUGUAUGGCUAAUAUCCAUGCGACUCUUGACGGUACCCUCAAAGGAAGCACCGGCUAACGUCCGUGCCAGCAGCCGCGGU
rnacentral:rRNA from 1 species